rnacentral:tRNA from 1 species
GUCAGGAUGGCUGAGUGUCCAAGGCGCUGCGUUCAGGUCGCAGUCCGGUCUUCCGGGCGUGGGUUUGAAUCCCACUUCUGACA